GACGAACGCUGGCGGCGUGCUUAACACAUGCAAGUCGAACGGUGAAGCGCCUUCCUUUUUGGUGGGUGUGGAUGAGUGGCGAACGGGUGAGUAACACGUGAGUAACCUGCCCCCUUCUUCUGGAUAACCGCAUGAAAGUGUGGCUAAUACGGGAUAUUCUGGGUCUGUCGCAUGAUGGGUCUGGGAAAGAUAUUGUUUCGGUGGGGGAUGGGCUCGCGGCCUAUCAGCUUGUUGGUGGGGUGAUGGCCUACCAAGGCGGUGACGGGUAGCCGGCCUGAGAGGGUGGACGAUCACACUGGGACUGAGACACGGCCCAGACUCCUACGGGAGGCAGCAGUGGGGAAUAUUGCACAAUGGGCGCAAGCCUGAUGCAGCGACGCCGCGUGAGGGAUGGAGGCCUUCGGGUUGUGAACCUCUUUCGCCAGUGAAGCAGGCCUGCCUCGUUUGUGGGUGGGUUGACGGUAGCUGGAUAAGAAGCGCCGGCUAACUACGUG
rnacentral:rRNA from 1 species